rnacentral:tRNA from 1 species
GCUCCUAUAGCUCAAUCAGGGAGAGCGGCACGAUGAUGAUGUGUCAGCGCCAGAUCGGCGCAAGGUCCGGGUUCGAGCCCCGGUGGGAGCA